rnacentral:rRNA from 1 species
AUUGAACGCUGGCGGCAUGCUUUACACAUGCAAGCCGUACGGUAACAGGGAGCUUGCUCCGCUGACGAGUGGCGAACGGGUGAGUAAUAUAUCGGAACGUACCCAAGAGUGGGGGAUAACGUAGCGAAAGUUACGCUAAUACCGCAUACGAUCCAUGGAUGAAAUCAGGGGACCUUCGGGCCUUGUGCUCCUGGACCGGCCGAUAUCUGAUUGGCUAGUUGGUGAGGUAAAGGCUCACCAAGGGGGCGAUCAGUAGCUGGUCUGAGAGGACAACCAGCCACACGGGAACUGAGACACGGUCCAGACUCCUACGGGAGGCAGCAGUGGGGAAGUUUGGACAAUGGGCGCAAGCCUGAUCCAGCAAUGCCGCGUGAGUGAAGAAGGCCUUCGGGUUGUAAAGCUCUUUUGUCAGGGAAGAAACGGCUGUGGCUAAUAUCCACGGCUAAUGACGGUACCUGAAGAAUAAGCACCGGCUAACUACGUGCCAGCCGCCGCCGUAA